GAUGAAGAACGCAGCGAAAUGCGAUACGUAAUGUGAAUUGCAGAAUUCAGUGAAUCAUCGAGUCUUUGAACGCACAUUGCGCCCUCUGGUAUUCCGGAGGGCAUGCCUGUCCGAGCGUCAUUGCUGCCUCAAGCACGGCUUGUGUGUUGGGCUCCGUCCCCCGAUCCCGGGGGACGGGCCCGAAAGGCAGCGGCGGCACCGCGUCCGGUCCUCGAGCGUAUGGGGCUUUGUCACCCGCUCUGUAGGCCCGGCCGGCGCUUGCCGAUCAACCAAAUUUUUAUCCAGGUUGACCUCGGAUCAGGUAGGGAUACCCGCUGAACUUAAGCAUAUCAAUAAGCGGAGGA
rnacentral:misc_RNA from 1 species